CGACUAAAAAAAUGCUCCUGAGAAUCUAGAGAUACUUCUUUCCCUUCGGGGACAAAGUGACAGGUGGUGCAUGGUUGUCGUCAGCUCGUGUCGUGAGAUGUUGGGUUAAGUCCCGCAACGAGCGCAACCCUUAUUACUAGUUGCCAGCAUUUAGUUGGGCACUCUAGUGAGACUGCCGGUGACAAACCGGAGGAAGGUGGGGACGACGUCAAAUCAUCAUGCCCCUUAUGACCUGGGCUACACACGUGCUACAAUGGAUGGUACAACGAGUUGCGAGACCGCGAGGUUUAGCUAAUCUCUUAAAACCAUUCUCAGUUCGGAUUGUAGGCUGCAACUCGCCUACAUGAAGCCGGAAUCGCUAGUAAUCGCGGAUCAGCAUGCCGCGGUGAAUACGUUCCCGGGUCUUGUACACACCGAG
rnacentral:rRNA from 1 species